rnacentral:rRNA from 1 species
CCCGGUGAGUUUUUAACGGCCGCAGUUAGUAGCUGUGCUAAGGUAGCGUAGUAAGUUGUCCUUUAAUUGGGGAAAGGAAUGAAUGGUUUGACGUAAGAAAUUCUGUCUCUUGAAGAAAUAAUGAAAUUUUCCUUCUAGUGCAAAGGCUAGAAUAAAGUUAAAAGACGAGAAGACCCUUUCGAGCUUAAUUAUUUAAUACACUUUAGUAUUAAUAAAAUUUGGUUGGGGCAACCAAGGAGCAAAAUUAGACUCCUUGAAGAAAUUUGGAGCCAAAAGUUUUGAAUAGAGAAAAAGCUACCGUAGGGAUAACAGCGUUAUCUUUCCUAAGAGAACAAAUUGAAGGGAGG